AGAUUGUUAGGAGGAAACGGCAGCUUGUCAGGACUCAGGCUUCCCUUGCUGACAAAAUAUGGCGAACAGCCUCAGUGAAAUCUUCAUGGAAUCUCUGAUCUGAAAAUCUUUGUGCACGUUUCCUAGCCACAGCUGCCAUUUCUUGCCUCUCUGACUCUCGCAUCCUCAAGACCUUGAUAAUUGCUUCAGUGUAUUCUUCCUUCUCGGAGGCUAGAAAUCCCGUUUGAUGCCCAUCCUCAUCUAGCACAAUGUCCAUCAUUGGGCCUGCUGAUUUAUGUGCUGCAAAAGAUGUGGAAAGCACUAAGUGUUAUGUUUCCAAGAUUAAAGUAUGUAUCAAAGAAAUGACUUAUGCACCAGUCUUUUUAAUUGGUGCCAUCAGAAAAUCGAAAAUAUGUAUGUCCAAUCUCACCUUCAGUGGCAUUUCGCACAAAGCUUUAAAUUUACACAUUACCUUAGUAUUUAAUCCAAACAAUUGAAGGAAUAUGAAACUCAGGCAAUUACUUACCAAUUGGAAUAGCACCAGCUGCCAUAUACUCAACAACACUUAUUCCAAAAUGUUCAUCUGUCAUCGAAUGGAGCCCAGAAAUGGCACCCCCAAGAAGUCGUACCAGGUCGCUGUUAACCAAAUGAUCCUACCAGUUAACCAACAGAAGAACAUGCAUGGUGAGAAUUUUUUUUAAGUACUAUGCAGAAUACAGUACCUGUAAGAAAUAUCCCUGUGGAACUCCACAAGCUCAUCUAUUUGCAGUUCAGUGGAUCUGUCCUUAAGUUUUUGUAGUCUGUCCAGAUCCUCUUUAUUCCGGCAACUACCAACAAAUUGAAGCUUUGGCUUAGGAAAAUCAGGAUCAAGCCUUUGAAGAGCAAGUGCAAAUGCCUCCAGCUGAAGACCAUGGGCCUGGUGGAAGAGCAAGAUAGAUAAAUGUUACUCUGAAGUGGGUGACUGUAAGUUAAGCUUUUAUAUUUGAAUCUUGACAUGACAUACCUUUUCUGGGCGGAACUGUGCAACUGAAAUAAAAAUAGGAGGUGUUGUUGGUCUUUCCAGGGGAAGCACCUGCGUUAUAAACCAAAUGUUUCAGAUGAAAACUAAGAAAAUCAUCUUUAUUUAAUUUAAUAACAUAAUAGGUUAUCAGGAAGAAUAAUUAGUUAAUUUGCUUACAAAAUGUGUUCAGAUAAUGAGCACAUAAUUGAUUGAUUAUGAUUCAUAAGAAAAGUUUUGCAACACAGAUGGUUGCAGUCUAUAGACAUGCCUGAAGAGAAGAAGUAUCACAUGGAGGGUACACCCUCUUAGUAUGCUCUGGGAUCUUCCAAAUGUUUAAAAUAUGGGAUCUUGUCCAUGACGAAUUAACCAUUACAAGAUGUGCACAUGAACCCACCAGACCAUAUAACCAACUGAAUAUGGUAUAGUAGAGGAUUUUGCAUCGGGACAGCCAAAUGCUACAGUAGAAUGAGUGCCCAAUUAGUUUCCAUGGUCAUUAUUAUUACAUAAGAACAGAAAGAUAUCAUAAUUGAUGACAUAUACAGAAACAAAGAUAAUUAGGACCUCAUCCAUAGCUAUGGAAACAACAAAUCACAUCUGGAUUGCCAAACCAGAUGUCAAGCCAAUGAGUGGGCAAAAUAAUUACUAGUUGAGCAUUACUUGAUCCUAUUAAUCUAUAUGUGACAUCUUAAGGAAGAAAUAUGUGCUAAUAAAGAGCUUAGGAUAAAUUCAGACAACACUCAGGAUAAACAUGCAUAGUUAGCUAGCUCAUUAUUGGUGAUUUUAUCAUGUUUCGUGCUUUGGUUUCUCAGAUACAGUAAUGCAUCAUGUUUUUUCUGUAUCACAUAUAUUGGUGCACCAAUAAAAAGGAGUUGAAGCUAAUCACUAUGUGCAGUGCAUACCUUCCUGCGAUACGGGAGUUGUUAUUGUACAUAGAACUGCGGUGCUUAACACGUUCAACCAUAUCAGAACUGAUUGUAGGGUAAUGGGUGUAGCAGAUGACUUUGCAACCAAAUAGCCGAGCCAGUGGAUAUGUAAAAGCAUAGCCACUUGUAUCAAAGUAAAACAUGGGGGUAAAAUUAGUAAGGGCCUCCCAUGCAAGAUAAACGGAGCCAAGACUUUGCCCAAUCAUUGUGAAGUGGGGAUAGGUGCUUGCUUCGAUCCACUUUCUCUUAUUCAAGUGAACAACCUGAAAAUGCAGUCCAAACAAACCAUUAGUAGUGCUGGUAUGUCACAGCUGCUAAAAGAAUUUCUUUAGUUAAUUUUGUAAACACGAUAGGGAAAUGCUGUAGUACGGAAGGUAACACACAUUUCCCUCGCUCAGUGAGUUACUAAAGCCACAUUUCAUUUAUACUAUAAUGACAUAGAUUUAAAUCCCUAUAUACAGUAGAGGCACUUCACUCAAUUUAGCCUUUUCAGACUAUAUUUGGCAUUAUUGUUGUUUCCUUUCACUAGGAUUCCAACUUUAUCUGCAAUGGAUUCAGACUAGGGAGGUAAUCACAUAUUUUCCAUGCGCAUCUCUGAAACUGCCAGCUACCAAUGUCUAAUUUUGUACCAUACAAUGUAUUUAGACCAGCAAUAACAACAACCAGUUAUAAAUCAGCCAAGCAAAUGAUAUAGAGCCCCAAAGGUUCAAGUAGGAAGCAAGAAUAGUGUAAUUGCAUUACAUGAACAUAACUCCUAACACAGCUAACAACAGCUUCCAAGGAAGACAGGGAACUAGGCAAAAAGUUCGCAUCGCAUGUUCUACCAUCGCUAGACAGCAGAUUCCAUGCAGCAAUAUAAUGCAAGAAAAAUUUAGACAAGGCAGUCGAAAUAGUGUUAUUCAGAAUUGAGAGUCAGUAUAAGUAAGCAGGUCCUAAUAUGAACAGGAUUUCCAAAGCGGCGCAAUGCUCAACUGAAAU
rnacentral:lncRNA from 1 species